rnacentral:rRNA from 1 species
UACGUAGGGGGCAAGCGUUAUCCGGAUUUACUGGGUGUAAAGGGAGCGUAGACGGAAUGUCAAGUCUGAAGUGAAAUCCCCGGGCUUAACCCGGGAACUGCUUUGGAAACUGGUAUUCUUGAGUGUCGGAGAGGUAAGCGGAAUUCCUGGUGUAGUAGUGAAAUGCGUAGAUAUCAGGAAGAACACCGGAGGCGAAGGCGGCUUACUGGACGAUAACUGACGUUGAGGCUCGAAAGCGUGGGGAG